rnacentral:rRNA from 1 species
UACGUAGGGUGCGAGCGUUGUCCGGAAUUAUUGGGCGUAAAGGGCUCGUAGGCGGUUUGUCGCGUCGGGAGUGAAAACCAGGUGCUUAACACCUGGCUUGCUUUCGAUACGGGCAGACUAGAGGUAUGCAGGGGAGGACGGAAUUCCUGGUGUAGCGGUGAAAUGCGCAGAUAUCAGGAGGAACACCGGUGGCGAAGGCGGGUCUCUGGGCAGUAACUGACGCUGAGGAGCGAAAGCGUGGGGAGCGAACAGG